UACGGGGGGAGCAAGCGUUGUUCGGAUUUACUGGGCGUAAAGGGCGCGUAGGCGGCGCAACAAGUCACUUGUGAAAUCUCCGGGCUUAACUCGGAAAGGUCAAGUGAUACUGUUGUGCUAGAGUGCGGAAGGGGCAACUGGAAUUCUCGGUGUAGCGGUGAAAUGCGUAGAUAUCGAGAGGAACACCUGCGGCGAAGGCGGUUGCCUGGAGCUUUGCUGACGCUGAUGCGCGAAAGCGUGGGGAGCGAUCCGG
rnacentral:rRNA from 1 species